UACGGGGGGGGGCAAGCGUUGUUCGGAAUUACUGGGCGUAAAGGGCUCGUAGGCGGCCAACUAAGUCGGAUGUGAAAUCCCCAGGCUCAACUUGGGAACUGCAUCCGAUACUGGAUGGCUUGAAUUCGGGAGAGGGAUGCAGAAUUCCAGGUGUAGCGGUGAAAUGCGUAGAUAUCUGGAGGAAUACCGGUGGCGAAGGCGGCAUCCUGGACCGACAUUGACGCUGAGGCGCGAAAGCGUGGGGAGCAAACAGG
rnacentral:rRNA from 1 species